GCUGCUCAAAUGUGCUACCUCUCCGUGGUGAGCAGCGGGCAAAACACAGUGAUGUGGCUAAGAUUGCAA
rnacentral:ribozyme from 1 species